rnacentral:misc_RNA from 1 species
AAGUCGUAACAAGGUUUCCGUAGGUGAACCUGCGGAAGGAUCAUUAGCGAAGUUCGGAAUGCCGGUUCGGUGCUGCAGCUGCCCAGCGAUGGGAUGUGCUCGUCCGGGCCGGUGUCCCUUCUCUAUUCCACCCCACUGUGAACCAAGCGUGCGAGCGGAAGAGAGAUCGGAAGCUCGCAUGCACACUUUAACAUACCCCUUAUGAAGUAUCUGAAUGUACCUUGCGUUAACUCGCACAAAUACAACUUUCAACAACGGAUCUCUUGGCUCUC